rnacentral:rRNA from 1 species
CAAUAGCGUAUAUUAAAGUUGUUGCAGUUAAAAAGCUCGUAGCUGGAUUUCGGGGCAGCCUGGCUGGUCCGCCGCAAGGCGAGUACUGGUCAGCCGCCCUUCCUCUCGAAAGCCCCGACUGCUCUUUACUGUAGUGGUCGGGUAGUUCGGGACGUUUACUUUGAAAAAAUUAGAGUGUUCAAGGCAGGCCUACGCCUGAAUACAUUAGCAUGGAAUAAUGGAAGAGGACCUCGGUCCUAUUUUGUUGGUUUCCAGGGCCGAAGUAAUGAUUAAGAGGGACAGUUGGGGGCAUUCGUAUUUAAUUGUCAGAGGUGAAAUUCUCGGAUUUAUGAAAGACGAACAACUGCGAAAGCAUUUGCCAAGGAUGUUUUCAUUAA